ensembl:lncRNA
GUAAAAUUGUUUUAAGAUCAAAUAUUUUUUUAAGAAAAAAAAUCAUAUGAAAACUUUUUUAGAUUAGUAAAAAACCAAAAGUGUCUGUUGAUGAACUGAUCAGAGUUCUAUGUAUCUCCAACAAGACCUGACACAUCGAGAAACUCCUCAUCAAGACCCUGAUGAGAUAAUGGAAAAAAUGAAACCCAAGCUUGGAUCCAAGUUGGACAAUACAACUGUCUAACAGACAUACCUCUUUAGAUGAUACAAUGAAUGUGCACCCAGCAAGAGACCAUCUAAGGUCUCAAAGUGAUGUGAGAGAUGGGUGAAAGGAUGGGUGAACCAUUCUUCACCAAGGCAGCCCCAUCGAUGUCCGGGACGGAUUGCAUGGCGAAGGGAAGUCCGACAUCACCCAAGUCCCAAAUGAAACUGGAAGCAUAAACUGGAAAUGUAUUUUUCCACUUCUUAGGUAGGCUACAGGCUCCCUAUGUGAUGUUCACAAUUUAGUUCAGUUCGACAAACAUUUACCAAGUGUUCUUUAUGUGUUAGGCCUUGGGUCAAGUACUUGGGAUGUAAAGAUGAGCAGGACACACUCUGUUCCCUUGAAGAGCUCUAUAACCUGGCGGGGAAAACAGGUGAAAAAACAGAUAAUGAUGAUUUGAGGGAGUCAGUCCUGUCAGAGACUGCACCAAGUGUGCUGUGAGCACAGAGAGCUUUCAUAAUCCGGGGACGAGGUCAGGGUUGGGGUGCAGUCACAGAAGACCCAUCUGGGCAGUUGAAGUGGCCCAAGUUAUAAGACAAAUCCAUUUUAAGACAGAGAAGGCUCUUAGUUUUGGCACAUUCAAUCUACAACCUUCUCAAUUAUCUACACUACAGCAUAGAUAGGGACCUCCAUAACGUCCCACUAACCUUCCAACAGACAGCUCUAAGUCAGCGGCACACUUCCUUGUGAGAAAUGCCAUUCUUCUUGGCAUAACUGAAGACACUGUUCCCAAGAAUUCUGCUACAGUGAGCCACAUCUACCAAGAGAGUUGGAAAGAGAGCAGCACAAAUGAAAAGGCCAAGUUUUUAAAAAUAAGGAAAUGUGGCUAAUUUUCAUGAACAGAUAAGGCAAAAAGUGGGUAUCAUCAUUGACUGUGGAAAUCCCAGUCACAGCAAAUGAGGUAGGUAGCUGCCUGCAAUAGAGCAAACUCAUGUAGACCAAGCCUGCAGCUCAGCGGCUGCACUUCACAAUGUGGAGGAGGCGCACUGUGUUGGUUCCCCCAUUCCCACCAUGGAAUGCCAAUCAGCCAGCCAACCACUGCAUAACUGAAGGCCUACGAUGUACCAGGGACACAGGACAUAAUCACAAGGAGACUGAGGAUUACAAAGUGCAGGUAGAGUGCUAUGAGAGUGAGUAAGGGGGUUCUAACCUAGUCUGGGGGAGCAGAAAAGACUUCCAGGAGGGGGCCAUGUUUUUGCUGAGACCUGAAAGAUAACCAAGAAAGUAGCUCGGUGGGGAGGGGCAGGAGGGACUUGACGAAAAGUGCAGUGUUGGGUGUUGAAGAGUGGCACGGGGAAAUGCUGCUUCCCUCUUUCUGGUUUUAAGUCUUCCCUAAAGACUCUUGCCCUCUUGCCCCCCUUUAUUCCUCACCAGUGAGGAAGGGUGAGCUAUCUGAUGAGUAUCUGUUUUAUGUCAGCCUAUAUGGAUGCUGUUUUCUAGGACUGCCUGGCAGCACUCCCCUGGGCCCUACUACUUGUGGUGAACCUCUACUCCCCACACUGGAGCCAAUGUUGUAGCUGGACCAGCCCUUGUGGCUCUUACUAUGAUUACAAGAUGCACCUCACAACAACCAACAGGGAACUUUGAGAAAACAAGGCUUAUUACUCACAAGCCCUGGAGGGUACACGGCAUGCCCGAAAGCCACACACCGAGGUCAUGGACCUCCAUAGUCGCCAGUCAGGGACCAGGAGAACUCCGACAAGAAGCUGCCACCACAGCCGCCUCUUCAUAGCAGGAAAAAUGGGUGCUGGAAUGUUGCUGCAGAAAAACCACGUUUCCACAACCUGGCUUCCAGCAAAGGAAAAAAAAGGGCCGCCAUCUAAUUUCCACCUUAUUUACAACCAGAACCUUAGCUACAAAGGAGUCUAACUUGAGUAAGGAAGAAGGGUACAAUUUACAGGGUCCUCUCAAAGAACCCUACUUCUAAUAUGGCUGCAGUGAAAAGAGCUAGGGGUGGAGAGACACCAAAUGAGACUGUAGAG